rnacentral:rRNA from 1 species
CGAAAGCUUGCUUUUGAUGGGCGUCGACCGGCGCACGGGUGAGUAACGCGUAUCCAACCUGCCCACCACUUGGGGAUAACCUUGCGAAAGUAAGACUAAUACCCAAUGACGUCUCUAGAAGACAUCUGAAAGAGAUUAAAGAUUUAUCGGUGAUGGAUGGGGAUGCGUCUGAUUAGCUUGUUGGCGGGGUAACGGCCCACCAAGGCGACGAUCAGUAGGGGUUCUGAGAGGAAGGUCCCCCACAUUGGAACUGAGACACGGUCCAAACUCCUACGGGAGGCAGCAGUGAGGAAUAUUGGUCAAUGGACGAGAGUCUGAACCAGCCAAGUAGCGUGCAGGAUGACGGCCCUAUGGGUUGUAAACUGCUUUUAUAAGGGAAUAAAGUGAGUCUCGUGAGACUUUUUGCAUGUACCUUAUGAAUAAGGACCGGCUAAUUCCGUGCCAGCAGCCGCGGUAAUACGGAAGGUCCGGGCGUUAUCCGGAUUUAUUGGGUUUAAAGGGAGCGUAGGCCGGAGAUUAAGCGUGUUGUGAAAUGUAGAUGCUCAACAUCUGCACUGCAGCGCGAACUGGUUUCCUUGAGUACGCACAAAGUGGGCGGAAUUCGUGGUGUAGCGGUGAAAUGCUUAGAUAUCACGAAGAACUCCGAUUGCGAAGGCAGCUCACUGGAGCGCAACUGACGCUGAAGCUCGAAAGUGCGGGUAUCGAACAGGAUUAGAUACCCUGGUAGUCCGCACGGUAAACGAUGGAUGCCCGCUGUUGGUCUGAAUAGGU